CUCCAGGGGAUCUUUCUGACCCAGAGCUAGACCUGCGUCUCUUGCAUCUCCUGCAUUGCUUGAAGAUGGCAGAUUGUGGGACUUCUCUGUUUCCACAACCAUGGUAGGGGGCUGAAAAGAUAGUCAAGAUAAAUGGUUCAGCAUAAUCUUCAUCCACAUAUAAGAACAGACAACGAGUCUACUAAGCUAGCCUGACAUUAUUAGAAAAGUUUAACUAGUAUUUAUUGAGCAUGUACCCUGUGACUAUUUCUAUACAAAGAACUUGGGGUGGAGUUGUGAGUGAAACCAGACACUGUUUCUACACUCCUGAAGAUUAUUGCCCAGAGAAAGAGAUUAAAAUUGAGCCAAGUGUUCCACUCCGAAAAGAGGAAAAUGAACAAUCCAAAAAGGAAAUUAAGAAAACUGGCAAUCAUUUCUUGGCUAUGACACCAGAAGCACAGGCAACACAAAUAAAAGUAGAUAAACUGGACUACAUGGAUAAUUAAAAACUUCUGUGCAUCAAGAGACACAAUCAAAAGAGUGAAAAAGCAACCUAUAGAACAGGAGGGAAUAUUUGCAAUUUAUAUAUCUGAUAAGGAGUAAACACCCAGACUAUAUAAAGAACUCCUACAACUCAACAAGAAACUAAAUAACGUGAUCAAAAAACUGGCAAAGAACUUGAACAGACAUUUACCCGAAGAAGACAUACAAAUGACCAACAAGCACAUGAAGAAGUGCUCAAGGUCGCUAAUCUAAGGGAAAUGCAAAUCAAACCACAGUGAGAUACCACCUCAUACUCCUCAGGAUGGCGACUGUCAAAAUCACAAAAACAAAAAUAACAAGCAUUGGCAAGGAUGUAGAAAAACUGGUACCUAAUGUAGUCAAAUUCAUAGAGAAAACAAGAAGAGUGACUGCCAAGGGCUGAGGAAGGGAAGAAAUGGGAGUUGAUGGGCAAAGAGUUUUCGUUUUUUAAAAGAUUGUUUUGAUGUGGACUGGUUUUAAAGACUUCACUGAAUUUAUUACAGUAUUGCUUCUG